rnacentral:rRNA from 1 species
UACGUAGGGUGCAAGCGUUAAUCGGAAUUACUGGGCGUAAAGCGUGCGCAGGCGGCUUUGCAAGACAGAUGUGAAAUCCCCGGGCUUAACCUGGGAACUGCAUUUGUGACUGCAAGGCUGGAGUGCGGCAGAGGGGGAUGGAAUUCCGCGUGUAGCAGUGAAAUGCGUAGAUAUGCGGAGGAACACCGAUGGCGAAGGCAAUCCCCUGGGCCUGCACUGACGCUCAUGCCCGAAAGCGUGGGGAGCAAACAGG